rnacentral:tRNA from 1 species
GGAGAUAAAGUUCACUGAUAGAGCACUUGCCUAACAUGCAAAAGGCCCUGGGUUCAAUUCCCAGUACUGCCA